rnacentral:lncRNA from 1 species
CCAGGCUGGAGUACAACAGUGUGAUCUCAAUUUUUUUUUUUUUUUGUGGGGGGUACAGACAGAAUCAUACUAUGUUGCCCAGGCUGGUCUCGAACUCCUGGGCUCCAGUGAUCCUCCCGUGUUGGCCUCCCAAAGUGCUAGGGCUACAGAUGUAAUCCACCAUGCCCAGUCCAUUUCAACCCUUAAAUGCUACACUGGUAGACCAUUUCCCUAGAUUCCAGGCAGCAUGCUCAAGAGUGAGAUGAGUCCAUCCCAAACACAGGACGAGUGAACCAGGAUGAGUAUGCUGCCCUGCAAAGGUUCUCUGUAAACUUCAGAGCACCACACAGACAUGACUCACUUGAGUAAUCCAUCUAGCCUGAGCUAGAGCUCAGAUGUCAGAGAUCCUCUGGGACUCUUUGAAAUGCUAUCCAAAAAGAGAUCUCAAAAUAGAACUCCAAAUAAUUAUCUCCCAACAGACAAGUCAAAGGCUAAUAUGAUCACUGAACCCAAUCAAAUUCAGGAUAUUACAAACCUACAGCCAGAAGUGUACUCAAAAUAUAAUUAUUUCCCUUACCUCAUCUUCGAUUUUAUCUGCAUCGGUUGUUGGUCGAUACGCAUCCUUGUUGGGAUGAAGAGCAGCCACAAAUUCAUAAUAAUCAAUGUAACCAUCCCCAUCUCGGUCGAAAAUGUCAGCCACAGCAGUCAUUUCUAACUUGGUGGUGGGGAACUCUGGAGAAAAGGAAUCAUAUUUUGAAACAUUAAGAGGGGUAUUUGUUUGGUUGGCGGUUAUAGAAAUUUUUUUUUUUUUUUUUUUUUUUUNNNNNNNNNNNNNNNNNNNNNNNNNNNNNNNNNNAGUGCAGUGGUGCAAUCUCGGCUCACUGCAACUUCCGUCUCCCUGGUUCAAGUGAUUCUCCUGCCUCAGCUUCCAGAGUAGCUGGGAAUACAAGCGCCUGUCAUCAGGCCCGGCUAAUUUUUUUUGUAUUUUUAGUAGAGACAAGGUUUUGCCAUGUUGGCCAGGCUGGUCUUGAACUCCUGGCCUCAAGUGAUCCACCCAUCUUGGCCUCCCAAAGUGCUGGGAUUACAGGCGUGAGCCACCACGCCUGGCCAGAAAUACUUCUUAAGAGCAAAAAAAUUUAUGUCUUGAUUUUUCCUGAAAAGUAAUACAUAUCCACUUAUAGACUCCCCUACCCCAAAUGCAACGAAAAAAGGUAAUAUUCCCCAUUUCAAAUAUACCAAAAGGCAUAAACAUAAUAUUACAACCACCCACAGUCCUACCACUCAACUCAAGAAUAUACUCAUCCACCCCACAAUUAUUGGAUAUUUAGAUUAUUUCAGAAUAGUGACAGUUUGGAAUAGCAUAAAGUUUUCCUAUGUUUAGAUUAUUGUCUUAGAUUCUAAACAAAUUGCUAUACAAAGGGAAGU